AGUCACAUUCCACCCGGGAAGUUGCCUUUCCUGGGGCUCAUUGGGUUUUUGCUUGUUUUGGGGUUUUUUUCUUUUUCUUUUUCUUUUUUUUUUUUUUUUUUUGAGUUGGGGGCCAGGGACCUUCGGAGGCACCAAAACUGAAAUGUCCCUUUAGUGUCGUUUCAGGGACUCUUCCCUUCUCUAGAACUCUCCUCCAGCUUCCUCCUUCUGGAUCUAAGACACCCCCUGGCCUGACGCAGCCUCUUGCCUUGGGCUGCGUGGAAACCUGCGUGUCCUGCCUCCAAGCACCACCCGGUGCACAGCCAGUGUUUAUUUUAUGGACCCAGGACCCACAUAACUGCCCUUAACUGCCGGACUCCUCCAGCCCGAGGACCUGGAGGCCGCUGGCUGGGUGUCAGGUUACCCUUUUUGCUUCUUCAGAUUACAUCAGAGCAUUGUUUCUGUCCUUUCAGAGGGAGAAAAAAAGGAAAAAAAAAAAAACCCAGAACUCCUACCGAAUUCUCUUCUUCUUGCCCAACCAAUGAAAAGGCGGAUGAGCCCCUCUGGCUCAAGUGGGACUGGGACCUUCUUGGCAUCCCCUCUGUAUGGAGGCGUAGUGACCUUGCGGGGCUCUGGCUCCUGGCACCCUCCCAAACCUGGAUGCGCUGCACAACCCUAAAUAACCCCGCUUCUGUGCUGUCUGACACAGAGAGCAUUUCCCUGAUGAAUCACCCAUGCACAGAUAAUCAAAUAAAUCUUUGUCUCACUACCUGCAGCCGGAUGGCCUGCAGAGUGUCCCAGGUCACAGCACCGAUCAAAUUAAGGGCCAGAAUCAUGGGUGCGACAGACCGCUCGGGCAUGGCCCUCUGGGCCCCCCCCCCUCCCGACAGACACAGCCCGUUCUCCCGUCCAGGACGAGGUUUUGGGGGAUGUAACCACCCCCUGAAGUGGAGUGACCGUGUUCGACCACAACCUGAUCAUGUCGACCCCGUCCCUCGCUGAACAUUGGCCAUGAGGUCUCAUUGGUUGAAUCAAGCGUUCAGCCUCACGUUCCCACCGAAACCGGCGCGCGCCCACGGUCACCAGCAGACGCCAGGCGAGUGUGAUCUCCUUUGUGACCUGUGCCUAAUUAGUGCUUUAUUGUCAUCUUCCAACUCGCGCUUAAACUGCACCAACAGGGGCGGGAUGAGUCCCCACGCCGAGUAAUAAGCCUGCAGCCCUGGUCCUGCAAUAAGCAGGGGGUGUUUUCGGCGUGAGAUCAGCAUCCGGAGCCCGCUUCUCUCCCUGGAUCCUCCGAGGGGGCGCGGGUGAUGAGGCCCGGGGAGCCCCCGCC
rnacentral:lncRNA from 12 species